GAAGUCGGAAUCCGCUAAGGAGUGUGUAAAAACUCACCUGCCGAAUGAAUUAGCCCUGAAAAUGGAUGGCGCUGAAGCGGGCGGCCGACACCACGCCGUCUGGUAAAGAAUUAUGAUCAGAUGAGUAGGAGGGCGUGGCGGUUGUAUCGAAGGGUAUGUGCAGACAUGCCUGGAACGGCCGCUAGUGCAGAUCUUGGUGGUAGUAGCAAGUAUUCAAGCGAGAUCCUUGAAGGGCGAAGCGGGGAAGGGUUCCACGCGAACAUUGAUUGGGCGUGGGUGAGUCGUUCCUAAGUCGAGUGGCGAUUGCUAAGUACCGGCGAAAGGGAAGCUGGUUGACAUUCCAGCACACGGAUGUGGAGGCGGUGACGCGUAUUGGGACGAACACGCUGGCGGUGGCGCUGGGCAGAGUUGUCUUUUCUGUUUGACUUUGCGCGCGCGGUGUGGAAUCCGCUUGUCGGGAGAAACACGCGUGUCGAGGCAGAGCGCCGGGGCUUUUCCGGCGUCCAGCUCGCCACCGACGGCCCUUGAAACUUUGUCUGCUUAAUAAAUCCACGCCGUGGCGUACCGAUCACCGCAUCAGGUCCCCAAGGUGAACAGCCUCUGCUCUAUAUGAACAAUGCAGGUAAGGGAAGUCGGCAAAUUAGACCCGUAACUUUGGGAUAAGGGUUGGCUCUAGUGCUGCGUGGGAGUGGUUGCCCACGGUUGGGGGAAUCGGCGAUGCUCGCUUGGCGCGGGCCUUCGGGACUGUGCCGAGUGCUGAGUUGGUUUUUCUGCUUUGGGCGACGCCCACGGCAUGCAGCAGACUAGAACUGCAACGGGCAAAGGGAAUCCGACUGUUUAAUUAAAACAAAGCAUUGCGAGGGCCGUGGCCGGUGAUGACGCAAUGUGA
rnacentral:rRNA from 1 species